rnacentral:rRNA from 1 species
AUUGAACGCUGGCGGCAGGCCUAACACAUGCAAGUCGAGCGAGCGGCGGACGGGUGAGUAAUGUAUGGGGACUGCCCGAUCGAGGGGGAUAACUACUGGAAACGGUGGCUAAUACCGCAUACUAUCGGAUAACCCAUAUGGGAUUAGCUAGUAGGUGGGGUAAAGGUUCACCAGGGCGACGAGUGCUAGCUGGUCUGAGAGGCGGAUCAGCCACACUGGGACUGAGACACGGCCCAGACGCCUACGGAGGCAGCAGUGGGGAAUAUUGCACAAUGGGCGAAAGCCUGAUGCAGCAAUGCCGCGGGUGUGAAGAAGGCCUUAGGGUUGUAAAGUACUGUUGUCAGAGAGGCGUUACCCACACAAGAAGCACCGGCUAACUCCGGGCCAGCAGCCGCGGUAAUUC